GCUGGGCGGUCUAGGGGAGCAUCCUGGAGUCGCGCUGGAGCCGGUGGGCGAGCCCCAGGGCCGCGUCCGCCCAAAGCGCACAGGCUCCCCGAGGGGGUUACAGGGAUGGCCUGAUGCAAAGCAACUACCCUCACAGAAUUGGAACGCCCCUUAAGGACUCUUCUAGAACAACUCCUUCGUCUUACAGAUGUGGAAAAUGAGGCCCGGAGUGCAGAACGACUUGCCUUUGCAAUUGGGGAACCCAAGCUAGGAGAGCACCCCAAGUGGCCCCUCUCCUGGACUAGUUCACUUUCUGGACCGCUGCCUCUGACUCUGCGGAUGCGGAAACUGAAGCUUAGAGAGCUGCAGCGAGCGAACCCUGCCUGACAACACCGAAGGAAUUUUUCCCAGGGAUCGGCCGAAAGCUGACUCACAUUUAAAGACUUGCCCAAAGUGGUCAUGCCCCUCUGAGCAAAUACCACAGGCAUGUCAAACCCCGCUCCCCACGGCCCCGCCGCCAGGCCCCGCAGCUGCCCGGCCCGGCCCAGCCCGGCCCGGCCCGCGAUUGGACGAGCGCCGCGCUGCUGAGCCAGGCCAGCCAAUCGCGGCUCGCGUAGCACGGCCAGCCAAUCGUGGCGCCGCUUAGCCCGGCGCAGCCAACCGCAGCGCCGCUUAGUCGGGCCAGCCAAUCGCAGCGCCACCUAGCCGGUUGCUAUCCGGGUCCCGGGUCCUAGGGAGGUGCGGCGGAUGGCGGUUGCUGCUUGUUUUCUGUCCCGCGGGCGGGGGUGGAGCGGGAGGCUUCGGCUGUGUGUUUAGGCAGGUAGGGCCCCGGAGGGAAGUGAAGAGUGAGGGCUGAGCCGCCUACGAGGGAGGGAGGCUGCCUCAGGGCCUUGAGCCGCAAAGUGCCACUGCUGCACGUGAGCUGCUGCGAGCUGCCAGGGGCUCCGGCGCCGGCGCGGGGCGCAUCCCUGGGAACCCAUCCUUGGGAGCUGACAGUCCAGUUCCAGGCUGCCCCAGAGCUCCAGCACCCGUCAGUCUUUUCUCCUCCAGUUGUGGAAGGCAAGAAGAGGCACUGACCCAUCAAGAGUGCAGAAGGUGCUGGAAAGAUAUCAAACGUCCGAGGUGUCUCUGUGUUCACAGAUAAAUACACAUAUAUUUAUGGAGCAUCGGUUAUGAUGAGCCCAGCAGCCCAAGGUUAAACAGGAGAGUUCCCUUCCAGAACUUACUGCCUUUUCACUAUCUAAUACGGUUUGAAACAGUGUUACUGAACCAUUGGAGGUUUACCUGCCUGGGGACUCACUUUUGAGCGCCAGCUGCACACUAAGAGCUCUGCGAACGUCCCCAGGAGAGCAGAUUGCGGGACCAAGCUCUCCAUGGCCGUGGGCAGAAUGCCACACCUUCGGACAAGGUCUGCUCAUAAAUGGCACCUGGCUUGGUAAAGAGAACUUUUACUCCAGAACUCCGAGGAGAAGAAUGAUGGGACUUUCUGGGGGGAUGGAUGGAGACAAUGACCCUGGGAUGUGCUACAAGUCACCUGCAGGGAACUGAAACUUUAUAGUCCUUGGGUGGGCACAGGAGCCCAGGCAGUGAAGGGGCCAAAGAAACGAGCAUGGAAUGGAACACUGUCAGACUUAAAAGAAAUGUAAGAGACCCACUUGUCCUUUCCAAAGCUGCACCAGAGCAUUCCAACGCGCUCCUGAUCCUGUCUACACGGUGUCAAGAUGCGUGGGUGAUUCCUUCAGUUCCGAGGAAUGAGGCAGUCCUGUGGGUGGUUUGCAGCCCAUGCGGCAGUCAGUGAUAGACUGACUUUGAAACAUGACCGAAAGAAGUCACGGCUUCACUGGUGUCUGGCCGCAAACACGAUCACAGAGCGUUUCAGUGUGUUUACUGCUGUGUAACAAACCACCCCAAAACUUAGCAUCUUAAAACGACAAUUCUGUACAGGGUCAGGAAGUUGGGCAGGACUCAGCCAGGCAGUUCUGGCCAUGAGGAGUCAUCUGGGGUCAUUCAUUGGCUGCAUUCUGCUGGCUCUGAGCUGGCGGGAAACCAAGAUCUCAGUCCUGUGUCUGGGGCCUUGGGGUCCUGCACGUGGCUUCUCCUCUGGCUGCCUUGGGCUUCCCCACAGCACAUGGGCUUGGGCUCUCUGGCAUUUUACAUCCCUGCUGGCUUCCAAAGAGAGAGGAAGCAGGAGCUUCCAAUCCUCUGACAAUCAGGGCUUGGAAGUCCCAGGUUACUUUAGCCAAAUUCUGUAGGUCAAAACCAGUCACAGGCCAGCCCAGAUCAAGAGGAAAGGAAAGAGACGCCAUCUCCUCACCAGGGAGAAAUGCCUACCAGCACAGGGUGGGGAGAGCUUUGGUGGGGGGGCAGUGUUGGAGACUGGCAUCCACACACAGUGGACAGAAAGCUGCGGGUAGGAGGUGCCUGCAGAAUUUGGGGACAUUUUGAAUAAGACCCAGGGGCUGCUGGUGUCUCUGUGAUUUGGUUUCUCUUUGCAUACUGGGGAUUGGAAGGUUCAAAAAGCUUUUUCUCUCCACUGGAAAAUCACUCGUCUCAAUGGCCAAGCAAGGGCUGGGGAGCCCCGAGCAUGCUUGCCGUGGGCUGGAGAAAGGGAGGGCACCUCUUUGGAGUUACGGAUGGAGCUCUGCAGGCUUGGGGACGUGUGUUCUUCCGGGGUGCACUGGCUUGCCUGUUUCUAUGCCAAGUUCAGGGGCUGCAGUUUGAGUCACCAUUCUCCCCCUCACCCAUAGCAGACAUUUGGACCACUCUUCCUAGUAAACCUUGGAAUUCUUGUUAACACACAACCUAGGUAGACAAUGCAGGCGGAUCUGAGGUGUAGCAUGCCUUGAAAUCUAUAGACUAAUACAGGCUGUCCUCUCUGAAAGGCACCAAAGAGGCACUCACAAUCCCCAAGUAAGAAAGAAAGUCUAGCUGCCCCUGGGGUGGGGAGAGGUCAGGGGGAGAGAGGAGGAUACCCUCCUGACAGGUGUUUCCCAGGUACCACAGGGGAACACACCUGCUGUGGUUUGUUGGGAACCAUGCUCAGGUGCCCUUGGAGGUGGAGUCAUGGCGCCAGCAGGAGAGGAAAGUGAUGCACCAGGGGCAGGAGACCUUGGGCGUGGCAUGCUCUCCCCUGACUGGUGAGAGGGCUGGUCAUUAACAGGGGAGCUGGAGAGAUAGAGGUCUGGACACUCUGUUGUGACCCUGGGGCCCCAGGGGCCUCAGUGUCAUCAUCUGUAAAGUAAGGGAGCUUGUUUCUGUGCCCUGUUCCAGCUCUAACAUGCUGUGGUCCUAGAACUAGCUGAACCAUGGAGGUCUUUCUUAUAGCAAGAGAUGGGCGACUUUUCAAAGCAGAUCAAGGGGGUGUGAUCCCUGACUUUCUUGCUUCAGACACAGUGAAACAGACAAGGAAGGAUGUUUGGCCAACGCUGUACUUGGGCCGCAGCUAAGGGGCAGACUUAGAAUCAGAGACUUCUCCGCGUGGCAGGAUGGCUUAGAGAUUGUUUUUUUUAAUUUGCCUUUUAUGACAAGAGUCAGAGGGAGGGCAGUAGAUGACGGGCAUCAGCCCUCUGCCUGGGAUUCAGGCGUCCAUACUCUGACCACUGGCUUGCAUCACCAACGCCAACCAGAGGCUGACUCUUCUGGCUAAAACAGCCCCUUUCCCAACUGGGGUCUGGCUGGGGUCUGGGAAUGCCCAUUAAAAUCCAGUUCCACCCACUCAGCCUCUUCCUCUGGUCCCCCUUUUCCCUUUCUCGACCUGCACCUGGUGUUCUCGCCUUUGCCAAAAAGGCUUAAACCUUGUCAACUUCUCAGCGAUGAGAAAUCCCACGCACCCUCCGGCUCCCCCAGCCCCAGU